CUCGCGCUCUCUCCCUCUCUCUCUCUCUCCCUCUCUCUCCCUCCCUCCUUGUCCAUGACUCUGCUCGAUCUGUUUAUAUAUCCUGUCUUGGUUUGAUUUAAAUCUUCAAGCUUGCAUCCAUUUCCCUAUUGACGAUAUGGCGUCAUUUCUGGUAUGACGUCAAUACGUCUCUUGCAGUAUUUCGCCGGUAUCUCAAUUUCUUUAUUGUGCAUAUCUCCAUUGUGGUUAUGGGCAAAGAUGCCC